rnacentral:rRNA from 1 species
UACGUAGGGGGCAAGCGUUGUCCAGAUUUAUUGGGCGUAAAGAGCGUGUAGGCGGCCACUUAAGUCCUGCGUGAAAUCUUGCGGCUCAACCGCAAGCGGUCGUGGGAAACUGGGUGGCUAGAGUGCGGGAGAGGAGAGUGGAAUUCCUGGUGUAGCGGUGGAAUGCGCAGAUAUCAGGAAGAACACCCGUGGCGAAGGCGGCUCUCUGGAACGCAACUGACGCUGAGACGCGAAAGCGUGGGGAGCAAACAGG